GAGAUCGACCCGCCGCGGGAGGAGGCACUCACCUGAGUAGAGCCCGCGCCGGACGGUCCAGGCUCAGAGAAAACGCGGAAGCAGGGACAGCCCUCUUCUACUACACAUCCUCCUUCAUCAGCCAGUUCAGUUUCCUCUGUGACACACAGUGCCCAUGGAUGAGGAAACAUCGGCCACGUGUGCUCUGCUCUAUACAGGAGAAUCCAGAUUGUCUCAGACACAGGGAGUCCAAUAUGCUGCUUCCUGUGUCUGCCCUCAGGUUCUGGAGAACUGUCCCCGUGGGGCUCCUGCUUACCUCACAUGAUCCGUCCCGCUCUUCUGAACCCAAGACCUGGGGCCUCUGCGGUAAAUUCACAUCAGCAAGCAUGUCCUUUCUGGGCUUCAAUUCUUGGUCUCUUUUGCUGACAGCUCCACUCUAUCCAGGAGCCUGGAGCCGGGUGGG